AGCAGUAGCCGCGGUAAUACAGAGGGUGCGAGCGUUAAUCGGAUUUACUGGGCGUAAAGCGUGCGUAGGCGGCUUCUUAAGUCGGAUGUGAAAUCCCUGAGCUUAACUUAGGAAUUGCAUUCGAUACUGGGAAGCUAGAGUAUGUGAGAGGAUGGUAGAAUUCCAGGUGUAGCGGUGAAAUGCGUAGAGAUCUGGAGGAAUACCGAUGGCGAAGGCAGCCAUCUGGCCUAAUACUGACGCUGAGGUACGAAAGCAUGGGGAGCAAACAGGAUUAGAUACCCCAGUAGUCCCUGUCUCUUAUAU
rnacentral:rRNA from 1 species